UCCGAUUGAUCCCGUCGGACCUUACUGCUAUCGAGAUGGGACUAACCCAGGCCAGUCGAACGACCCGGACUAUGGCGGGGAGUGGCGCACUGCUCAGUAACACGUAGCUAACCUAACCUCAAGACGGAAAUAACCCCGGGAAACUGGGGUCAAUGUCCGAUAGAUGUGAAUUCCUGGAAUGGUGUCACAUCCAAACGUCAACACACCAUGUUGUGCGAACGCUUGAGGAUGGGGCUGCGGCCGAUCAGGCUGUUGGUGGGGUAAUGGCCCACCAAACCUUUGACCGGUAUGGGCCAUGAGAGUGGUAGCCCAGAGAUGGACACUGAGACAAGGGUCCAGACCCUACGGGGCGCAGCCGGUACGAAACCUCCACAAUGCACGCAAGUGCGAUGGGGUUAUCUCGAGUGCUAUCUGAAAAAGGUAGCUUUUCCAUGGUCUAAAUAGCCGUGGGAAUAAGGGGGGGGCAAGACUGGUGUCAGCCGCCGCGGUAACACCAGCCCCCCGAGUGGUAGGGAUGUUUAUUUGGCCUAAAGCGUCCGUAGCCGGCUAAGUAAAUUUCUCGUUAAAUCCAACGUCCUAAGCAUUGGGCUGCGAGAAAGACUGCUUAGCUAGAGGGUGGGAGAGGUCAGCGGUAUUCCUGGGGUAGGGGCGAAAUCCAUUGAACCCAGGAGGACCACCAGUGGCGAAGGCUGCUGACUAGAACACGCCUGACGGUGAGGGACGAAAGCUGGGGUAGCGAAUCGGAUUAGAUACCCGAGUAGUCCCAGCCGUAAACGAUGCAGACUAGGUGUUGGGUUGGCCACGCGCCGACUCAGUGCCACAGGGAAGCCAUUAAGUCUGCCGCCUGGGAAGUACGGCCGCAAGGCUGAAACUUAAAGGAAUUGGCGGGGGAGCACCACCAGGCGUGAAGCCUGCGGUUUAAUUGGAGUCAACGCCGGGAACCUUACCGGGAGCGACAGCAGAGUGAAGGCCAGGCUAAAGGUCUUGCCAGACGAGCUGAGAGGAGGUGCAUGGCCGUCGCCAGUUCGUGCCGUGAGGUGUCCUCUUAAGUGAGGUAACGAACGAGACCCGCGCCGCAUGUUGCUAACAAGUCCUAAAGGGAUGUUGAGCACUCUUGCGGGACCGCAGCCGACAAGGCUGAGGAAGGUGCGGGCAACGGCAGGUCAGUAUGCCCCGAAUCUCCCGGGCCACACGCGGGCUGCAAUGGUAGAGACAGAGGGCUGCAACCCCGAAAGGGGAAGCCAAUCCCUAAACUCUACCUCAGUUGGGAUUGAGGGCUGCAACCCGCCCUCAUGAACAUGGAAUGCCUAGUAACUGCCAGUCAUCAUCUGGCGGUGAAUACGUCCCUGCUCCUUGCACACACUGCCCGUCGAACCACCCGAAUGAGGUUGGGGUGAGGUAUGAUCGAAUGUUGGUCGUGUCGAACCUGGGCCUCGUAAGGAGGGUUAAGUCGUAACAAGGUG
rnacentral:rRNA from 1 species